UAGAGGAAGUAAAAGUCGUAACAAGGUUUCCGUAGGUGAACCUGCGGAAGGAUCAUUAUCGAGUUUUUGAAACGGGUUGUCGCUGGUCCCGUUCUUAACAGAGUCGGGACAUGUGCACACCUGGCUUCAUUCCACUCUUCAACCCCUGUGCACUUGUUGUAGGUUUCAGGUCGGACGCGGGGCUUUCGACUUCAUCGUCGAGAGCCUCAAGGAAAGCCUGAGCCUAUGUUUUACCAUACACACGCUUCAGUUAUAGAAUGUAAACAUCGCGUAUAACGCAUUUUAAAUACAACUUUCAGCAACGGAUCUCUUGGCUCUCGCAUCGAUGAAGAACGCAGCGAAAUGCGAUAAGUAAUGUGAAUUGCAGAAUUCAGUGAAUCAUCGAAUCUUUGAACGCACCUUGCGCUCCUUGGUAUUCCGAGGAGCAUGCCUGUUUGAGUGUCAUGGAAUUCUCAACCUUUGAAAGCUUUUAUCGGUUCUCAAAGGCUUGGACUUGGAGGUCGUGUCGGCUCUGCAAAGAAUAUCGACUCCUCUGAAACGUAUCAGUGCGAACCUUUACGGAUCGUCUUCGGUGUGAUAAACGUCUACGCCGUGGUCGUGAAGUAUGAUCGUGUCCGUGCUUCUAACCGUCUCCUUUGCGAGACAAAAACUGUGUUACUUACUAUAAGUAACAUAGGCAUUGACAAUC
rnacentral:rRNA from 1 species